CACAUAAGACAUGCAAGUCGAACGGAAGUCGUUAUAAUGAUUUGGAGUUGAAGAUUAUCGGAACAAUAUUGAUUAUAACAAUGGCUUAGUGGCGGACUGGUGAGUAACGCGUAAGCAAUCUGCCUGUUAGAGGGGAAUAACAGUGAGAAAUCACUGCUAAUACCGCAUAUGCCAUGAGUAUCGCAUGAUACAAGUGGGAAAGGAGUAAUCCGCUAAUAGAUGAGCUUGCGUCUGAUUAGCUAGUUGGUGGGGUAACGGCCUACCAAGGCGACGAUCAGUAGCCGGACUGAGAGGUUGAACGGCCACAUUGGGACUGAGAUACGGCCCAGACUCCUACGGGAGGCAGCAGUCGGGAAUAUUGCGCAAUGGAGGAAACUCUGACGCAGUGACGCCGCGUAUAGGAUGAAGGUUUUCGGAUUGUAAACUAUUGUCGUUAGGGAAGAUAAAAGACAGUACCUAAGGAGGAAGCUCCGGCUAACUACGUGCCAGCCGCCGC
rnacentral:rRNA from 1 species